rnacentral:rRNA from 1 species
UACGUAGGGACCGAGCGUUGUCCGGAUUCAUUGGGCGUAAAGAGCUCGUAGGCGGCUGUUCAAGUCGAACGUGAAAACUCGGAGCUCAACUCCGAGCCUGCGUUCGAGACUGGAUGGCUAGAGUCUGGUAGGGGGGAUCUGGAAUUCCUUGGUGUAGCGGUGGAAUGCGCAGAUAUCAGGAGGAACACCGGUGGCGAAGGCGGGAUCCUGGGCCAGUACUGACGCUGAGGAGCGAAAGCGUGGG